GCAGAACGUCAAACAAGGCAACUGAAGAAUCUCCACACCCAUGGUCCAACACACCUGUCAGGGGAUCUGUAGGACCAGACCUCUUUCAUCAGUCAAUCUCAGAUCAUCAGUAUGCCCAUGACCCGGUGAAAGCAAAAGAGAAGUUGGCUGUGUAUCAGGAGAACGUGGAGAAGUUACGACGGGACUUGAGAAAUGCGAAAGACAGGGAAAGAAGACAGUGAGCUCCUUGUUGGUGCAUUUAAAAAAAGAACAAGAUGCUAACAGAGGAACUGGAGCAAAAGCUGGAUUUCUACUCUGACCUUCCAGUUGAACUGUUCAAGCACGACCAUGCCUUCACUCCUGCUCAACAGGAAUUUGCUUUAACGUUGCAUUUGCAUGGACCUAAAGCCUAAACUUACUUGAAGGAAACCAUGAAGAUACCACUCCCACAUCCUCACACUCUUCUAAAAUGGUUGCAGACUGUGGACGCUAAGCCUGGGUUAAACACAUGGCUCUUAGACAUGCUACAGAGACGGAAAAACGAAG